GGUGUAUAAUUAAUUCAUAAUAUUUGAUUUGCAAUCAACCAUAACCCAAGGGUUACGCCUG
rnacentral:tRNA from 1 species